GGGGCCUAAACGGACCCGGGGGCGGGGCCUAAACGGACUUGGGGCGGGCCUAAAUGGGGCGGAGCUACUCGGGUCUCAGACUGCUACUUACUCACUGUUGCUUCUGCUGCUGUAAGAGGGAGAGGACAGAGGAGGAGUUGCUGCAGAUCCAGGGCUGGCCCAGUCAGUGAGUCUGCAGUGCACUCUGCUGUAGUUUGUAAGGGCUGGCCAACCGUUACAUUGCGGAGAGUACCAUAUGUGGAGGGUGCUGCCGCUGCCUUCUCAUCUUCUCCCGAUGUGUGCUCGAACCCCUGCUGCACUGCCCCAAGAGAGAGCCUGGAUCACAGGGUGAGGCACCAUCAGAGCAACCCAUUGGAACUACAAGCCUUCGGUCUCGAAAAAUUUAAUUUGGGUAUCAGAGGUGGUGACCUAAUGCAACAACUCCUCAAACGUGAAUCCGAAUGGACUUUCAGACUGGAUUGCCUUGCACCAAGAGGGAUGAAUGAGCACAUCAAUUAUGGAGUGUUCAUCUAGCCCAUCCAGUCCUCAAACAAAGGACAUGCAAUCAUAACAUAAUUCCUCCCAAUGUAGAUUGAAACAACAGACCCUUGAAAAUAAGACUUUAAGCUAAUCUCUUUCUAACUUGUAAAUUAUCUUAUUCAUCUAUACACUUACCUGGUUGCAUUAUCCCCAUCCUUCUAACUCACCCACAGGUUAAAAAACUUACCCUCACAAUUACCCCAUAUUGACCAUUAUCUCAAACCUCCACCCCCCCCCCCCUGCUUCUGCAAUCACACAUCACACCUCCACACUAUAUCCACAUCACAUCAAGACCCAUUUACUCCAAUAGCACAACAUUUAACAAUCACCAGUUCCUACCUCAUAUACUACAUACCUCACAUUGCCCCCAUCCCACAUAAUGCGAUUAGUUACCCAACUUAGAUCCACACUAUUGCACUUUGCAUCAAUGGACUUUAGUCACAUCACUUUAUGUGUCACAUUUUUCCUGCUCAUAUAUAUAAUAAGGCAAUUACACAGUCACAUCACUCUGAUACUUAUACCCCUUUUCCACCUACUGAGCACGGGUCGCAGCCGGGAGCCUGACAUGGGUGCUACCUGGCUACGGCCUGUGCUCAGCCCCCUUUCCCACUGCGCUCACCAACCCUGCAUAUUGCUGGGUUGGUGACGCGGCAGGGGCGGCGCUGGGAGAUCACAUGAUCUCCCAGCGCCCCCUUCCAUACAGUGUAAACGGGAGCCAUGUCGCAUCAUCACAGCUUCCGUUUACACUACAACCCUACCCGGAUCAUUCCCGUGUCCUACCCAGGUAGUUACCUGGAUAGGAUUCACGGGUCACUUGAUCCGGGUUUUUGCCCUUUUCCACUAGCAAAAAACACAGGUAAAUGCGCACCCCCGUGCAUUUACCCGUGUUUGUUGAGCUAGUGGAAAAGGGGUAUUAAUAAUUAUCAAUAUUCUCCUUUUUUCUUUUUUUCUUUUUUUUAUUAUUAUAGAAACCUCUCAAAUAGUGGCUUUCUACUCUAUGUUACCAACAUAUUCCUUUUCUCUUUGGUUUAAAUUUCUUUAGCCUACAUGGAACCUAUAUUUACCUUUUUGUGCCUCAUGCCUUAUGCCUCAUGUCUAACUGCACUAUUUGGUAUGCAAUUAGAUGUUUUCCUUUUUCAUGUGGGAUACUAAUGAAUGUAUUAUACUUAUAACCUAACUAGUACUCAGAUUACGCCAAAAUUCAUCUGAUCUUGGAAGCAAAGCAGUGACAGGCCUGAUCAGUACAAGGUCAAGUGACUAUCUUGGAAUAUCAGGUGCAGUAGCUCCAAUCAUCAACAAACAGCAGAAGUGGUGAAGAAAACAUUGGCCUUACCUCUAUACCUAUUCUACUAAUUAGAACUACAAUCUUUGCAAGACCACCUACCAGAGAAAGAAGCUUCAUUAGCACAACCAUUACAAAUACCAAGGGAGCCAUUAUCAAGGACUAUAGCUACCAUUAUGAAAAUCAUUUUCCUCCAUAACGAUAUUACACUCCUGAUAUACUAAGAUAUUAUACAUAUCUUUGAUUUUAAUAUUUUUCACCAGGGGCGUAUUGGAAAUGGUUAUGUACACUCAGCAAUUUGAUUGGUGACAACAUGGGGCAUGUCAACCCCUUAUACUAAUACCAUUCAACUCCACCUAAGGUGACUGUAUUUUGUAUGUAAGUCUGUGUCCUUUCUUCUUUUAUGAUUAACCAUAAUAAAAGUUAAGUUUUAACAUAUUUUAUAUCCAUCAA